AGUGAACGCUGGCGGUAGGCCUAACACAUGCAAGUCGAACGGCAGCACAGUAAGAGCUUGCUCUUACGGGUGGCGAGUGGCGGACGGGUGAGGAAUACAUCGGAAUCUACUUUUUCGUGGGGGAUAACGUAGGGAAACUUACGCUAAUACCGCAUACGACCUACGGGUGAAAGCAGGGGAUCUUCGGACCUUGCGCGAUUGAAUGAGCCGAUGUCGGAUUAGCUAGUUGGCGGGGUAAAGGCCCACCAAGGCGACGAUCCGUAGCUGGUCUGAGAGGAUGAUCAGCCACACUGGAACUGAGACACGGUCAAGACUCCUACGGGAGGCAGCAGUGGGGAAUAUUGGAAAAUGGGCGCAAGCCUGAUCCAGCCAUACCGCGUGGGUGAAGAAGGCCUUCGGGUUGUAAAGCCCUUUUGUUGGGAAAGAAAAGCAGCAGGUUAAUACCCCGCUGUUCUGACGGUACCCAAAGAAUAAGCACCGGCUAACUUCGUG
rnacentral:rRNA from 1 species